rnacentral:rRNA from 1 species
GACGAACGCUGGCGGCGUGCUUAACACAUGCAAGUCGAACGGUAAGGCCCUUCGGGGUACACGAGUGGCGAACGGGUGAGUAACACGUGGGUGAUCUGCCCUGCACUUCGGGAUAAGCCUGGGAAACUGGGUCUAAUACCGGAAAGGAACACUGCCUGCAUGGGGGGUGGUGGAAAGCUUUUGCGGGUUGGGAUGGGCCCGCGGCCUAUCAGCUUGUUGGUGGGGUGAGGGCCGACCAAGGCGACGACGGGUAGCCGGCCUGAGAGGGUGACCGGCCACACUGGGACUGAGAUACGGCCCAGACUCCUACGGGAGGCAGGAGUGGAGAAUAUUGCACAAUGGGCGCAAGCCUGAUGCAGCGACGCCGCGUGAGGGAUGACGGCCUUCGGGUUGUAAACCUCUUUCAGCUCCGACGAAGCGCAAGUGACGGUAGGUGCAGAAGAAGGACCGGCCAACUACGUGCCAGCCGCCGCAGUAA